CCUACGGGGGGCUGCAGUGAGGAAUAUUGCGCAAUGGGGGAAACCCUGACGCAGCAACGCCGCGUGAGUGAGGAAGGUUUUCGGACCGUAAAGCUCUGUCGAGCGGGAAGAAAUGCAUAAUGGCUAAUAUCCAUUAUGCUUGACGGUACCGCUAAAGGAAGCACCGGCUAACUCCGUGCCAGCAGCCGCGGUAAUACGGGGGGUGCUAGCGUUGUUCGGAAUCAUUGGGCGUAAAGAGCGUGUAGGCGGCUGGAUAAGUCAGAUGUGAAAGCCCUGGGCUUAACCUAGGAAGUGCAUUUGAAACUGUUCAGCUUGAGUAGGGGAGAGGAAAGUGGAAUUCCUGGUGUAGAGGUGAAAUUCGUAGAUAUCAGGAGGAACACCGGUGGCGAAGGCGACUUUCUGGCCCUAUACUGACGCUGAGACGCGAGAGCGUGGGUAGCAAACAGGCUUAGAUACCCCAGUAGUC
rnacentral:rRNA from 1 species